UACGUAGGGGGCAAGCGUUGUCCGGAAUUAUUGGGCGUAAAGAGCGCGUAGGCGGUUUUUCGCGUCUGCUGUGAAAACCCGAGGCUCAACCUCGGGCCUGCAGUGGGUACGGUCAGACUAGAGUGCGGUAGGGGAGAUUGGAAUUCCUGGUGUAGCGGUGGAAUGCGCAGAUAUCAGGAGGAACACCAAUGGCGAAGGCAGAUCUCUGGGACGUAACUGACGCUGAGGAGCGAAAGCAUGGGGAGCGAACAGG
rnacentral:rRNA from 1 species